rnacentral:rRNA from 1 species
AUUGAACGCUGGCGGCAGGCCUAACACAUGCAAGUCGAACGGUAACAGGAAACAGCUUGCUGUUUCGCUGACGAGUGGCGGACGGGUGAGUAAUGUCUGGGAAACUGCCUGAUGGAGGGGGAUAACUACUGGAAACGGUAGCUAAUACCGCAUAACGUCGCAAGACCAAAGAGGGGGACCUUCGGGCCUCUUGCCAUCGGAUGUGCCCAGAUGGGAUUAGCUAGUAGGUGGGGUAACGGCUCACCUAGGCGACGAUCCCUAGCUGGUCUGAGAGGAUGACCAGCCACACUGGAACUGAGACACGGUCCAGACUCCUACGGGAGGCAGCAGUGGGGAAUAUUGCACAAUGGGCGCAAGCCUGAUGCAGCCAUGCCGCGUGUAUGAAGAAGGCCUUCGGGUUGUAAAGUACUUUCAGCGGGGAUGAAGGGAGUAAAGUUAAUACCUGUGCUCAUUGACGGUACCCGCAGAAGAAGCACCGGCUAACUCCGUG